GGGGAUUUGGCUCAGUAGUAUAAGAACCUGCCUUAUAAGCAGGCGGUCGUGAGUUCAAUCCCCA
rnacentral:tRNA from 1 species